rnacentral:rRNA from 1 species
GAUGAACGCUGGCGGCGUGCCUAACACAUGCAAGUCGAACGGGAGUUGUCUUCGGACAACAAGAGUGGCGCACGGGUGAGUAACACGUAGCUAACCUGCCCCGAAGCUCGGGAUAACGUUCCGAAAGGAAUGCUAAUACCGGAUAAGCUCACGAACUGUAGAGGCUUGUGAGAAAAGGAGAAAUCCACUUUGGGAUGGGGCGUGCGACCCAUCAGCUCGUUGGUGAGGUAACGGC